CAAUUGGCUUGUAAGAUAUUAUUUUUUUAAAUGUGUUUUUGAAUCAUCCAUAGAAUUAACAUUUCGAUACAUAUUCUCAAAGUGUUGAGAAUUAAAGAUAUAUAUAUAAUUUCUAAAUGCUCCUGAUCAUAAUAUCAUCAUGAAGAUAAUGAUCGAUUCGGAUAGAUCGAUGUACAAAUCGGAGAUAGAUGAGUCUCUGAUCUACAGUGUAAAAAUUUGAGUGAUGAGUACGGAUAGUUGUUAAAAAAUAACUAAUACUGAAUGUGACCAUACAAGAGAUCACUUGAAUUUUUACUCAAUCAUCAGUGAUUAUCUCGAUGCUGUAGUUGUAUGAAUGAUCUUUUGAUCUAUGAUGGUAUGACUACUCAUAGUAAAGCUAUUGAAGUUUGACUGACACAUAAACAUGGUCUCAAUGAAUCCUUAUGUGGAUAUUGACAACAAUUGAUCCACUAUAGGAGUAGGAUGUACAUCUAGAUGAAAUUUAUCGAUCUUGAUAGAGAGGAGUAGUUCUAUGAAAUUUAGAGGCUAUGUCUAAGAGUUUGUAGCUAUAGUAGUGUGAUUGAUAAAAAAGAGUUUCCAUAAGGAUCGUAAUUAGAUUUGAGCUGAUCGAAUCUAUCAUAUGAGGAUGAUGAGAUUUGACGAUUUAUCCAUAAUCUACCAUCUAAUCGGGACUCACGAUAGAGGGACUAAAUCAUAUGUUAACUACAUCUUGAGGUUCUUUUUUAAUUUUACUAGGUUGCCACUACAUACUGCUAGGUAUCACUGGUGGAUUGUGAGAGCUGACUAGAGUUGCUCAAGAUCAACAAUCCUUGAUGAGUUAGAGUGAAAUUAUUCUGAUCCAUUGAAAGGAGUUUCAAUAAUACUAUGAUAAAGAUCAUUGUAUAUCUCACUAUCAGAUAAAAUUAAAUCUAUAGGGUCACACAGCAAAGAAAUUGGAUUCGAAAUAAGUAAUUAGACUUAUGAAGUCUCAAUUGGAUUUAGAGAAAUCUUAUUGGGUUCAAGAUAAUCUUGCUAGCACAUGUUUGGACUCAAUUUUUUUUUACAUUUAAAUUUUUAUUUGAUAAGAUUAAUUUAAAUUAAUUACCUGCUAAUAACCUAAAUGAAUCAAAUUCAUUAGGCUCUAAUUGUUGGAUGCCUAGAGUUUUGGAUUAAAUGAAUUAAGGAUUCAAAUCCUUAAUCAAUUUUCUUGAUAAUUUUGAUUGAGCACCACCUGAUUUGAUCAAGUUGGACAUGCACACACUAAAGAGGGCGUGUGGACUUGAUUGGGGCAUCCCAUGGCAACCAUGUGGUGUGUGUAUCUAUAGGUGCAAGGGCUCCAAAAGUUAACGCCUAAACAAUCUCCUAAAGGAGGUCAAAUAACUAAAGGAAUAAAGAUUCCUAAUACAAGUAGGACUUGUAUUAAGUGGUAGUUUGAUUUUGAAUAGGAUUCAAACCUUAUGCCUAAUUAAAGGAGCCUUCCCUAAGGCUCCUUAGCACUGAAUUCCAAUAACCCAUGCCUCCUUUAGAAGCUCCCCACACCCCC
rnacentral:lncRNA from 1 species